rnacentral:rRNA from 1 species
GCCCAGACUCCUACGGGAGGCAGCAGUGGGGAAUAUUGGACAAUGGGCGAAAGCCUGAUCCAGCAAUGCCGCGUGAGUGAUGAAGGCCUUANGGUUGUAAAGCUCUUUUACCCGGGAUGAUAAUGACAGUACCGGGAGAAUAAGCCCCGGCUAACUCCG